rnacentral:rRNA from 1 species
AGAACGAACGCUGGCGGCAUGCCUAAUACGUGCAAGUCGAACGAACUCUUCGGAGUUAGUGGCGCACGGGUGCGUAACGCGUGGGAAUCUGCCCCUUGGCUCGGAAUAACAGUUGGAAACGACUGCUAAUACCGGAUGAUGACGAAAGUCCAAAGAUUUAUCGCCAAGGGAUGAGCCCGCGUAGGAUUAGCUAGUUGGUGAGGUAAAGGCUCACCAAGGCAACGAUCCUUAGCUGGUCUGAGAGGAUGAUCAGCCACACUGGGACUGAGACACGGCCCAGACUCCUACGGGAGGCAGCAGUAGGGAAUAUUGGACAAUGGGCGAAAGCCUGAUCCAGCAAUGCCGCGUGAGUGAUGAAGGCCUUAGGUUGUAAAGCUCUUUUACCCGAGAUGAUAAUGACAGUAUCGGAGAAUAAGCCCCGGACUAACUCCGUGCCAGCAGCCGC